rnacentral:rRNA from 1 species
GGACCUGACUGCUAUCGGAUUGAUACUAAGCCAUGUGAGUCUUUGUAGCAAUACAAGGCAUACGGCUCAGUAACACGUAGUCAAUCUAACCUAUGGACGGGGAUAACCUCGGGAAACUGAGAAUAAUACCCGAUAGAUCAUUAUGCCUGGAAUGGUUUAUGGUUCAAAUGAUUCGUUCGCCGUAGGAUGGGACUGCGACCUAUCAGUUUGUUGGUGAGGUAAUGGCCCACCAAGACUAUUACAGGUACGGGCUCUGAGAGGAGAAGCCCGGAGAUGGGUACUGAGACACGGACCCAGGCCCUAUGGGGCGCAGCAGGCGAGAAAACUUUGCAAUGUGCGAAAGCACGACAAGGUUAAUCCGAGUGGUUCCUGCUAAAGGAACCUUUUGUUAGUCGUAAAACCACUGAUGAAUAAGGGGUGGGCAAGUUCUGGUGUCAGCG